GGCUCAGGAUGAACGCUAGCGGCAGGCCUAACACAUGCAAGUCGAGGGGCAGCAUAAAACAAGCUUGCUUGUUUGGUGGCGACCGGCGCACGGGUGCGUAACGCGUAUGCAACCUACCUUAUACUGGGGGAUAGCCCGGAGAAAUUCGGAUUAAUACCCCAUAGUAUUGUUAAAUCGCAUGGUUUGAUAAUUAAAGGUUACGGUAUAAGAUGGGCAUGCGUCCUAUUAGCUAGAUGGUGAGGUAACGGCUCACCAUGGCGACGAUAGGUAGGGGGCCUGAGAGGGUGGUCCCCCACACUGGUACUGAGACACGGACCAGACUCCUACGGGAGGCAGCAGUGAGGAAUAUUGGUCAAUGGGCGCAAGCCUGAACCAGCCAUGCCGCGUGCAGGAAGAAUGCCCUAUGGGUUGUAAACUGCUUUUAUUUGGGAAUAAACCUCUUUACGUGUAGAGAGCUGAAGGUACCAAAUGAAUAAGCACCGGCUAACUCCGUG
rnacentral:rRNA from 1 species